AAUGAACGCUGGCGGCAGGCCUAACACAUGCAAGUCGAACGGAUCCUUCGGGAUUAGUGGCGGACGGGUGAGUAACGCGUGGGAACAUACCCUUUGGUACGGAAUAGCCUCGGGAAACUGGGAGUAAUACCGUAUGUGGUCGAGAGACGAAAGAUUUAUCGCCAAAGGAUUGGCCCGCGUUGGAUUAGGUAGUUGGUGGGGUAAUGGCCUACCAAGCCGACGAACCAUAGCUGGUUUGAGAGGAUGAUCAGCCACACUGGGACUGAGACACGGCCCAGACUCCGACGGGAGGCAGCGGUGGGGAAUCUUAGACAAUGGGGGAAACCCUGUUCUAGCCAUGCCGCGUGAUCGAUGAAGGCCUUAGGGUUGUAAAGAUCUUUCAGGUGGGAAGAUAAUGACUGUACCACCAGAAGAAGCCCCGGCUAACUCCGUGCCAGCAGCCGCCGUAA
rnacentral:rRNA from 1 species